rnacentral:rRNA from 1 species
CAGUCGCCGCGGGAAUACGUAGGUGGCAAGCGUUGUCCGGAAUUAUUGGGCGUAAAGGGCUCGCAGGCGGUUUCUUAAGUCUGAUGUGAAAGCCCCGGCUCAACCGGGGAGGGUCAUUGGAAACCGGGAAACUUGAGUGCAGAAGAGGAGAGUGGAAUUCCACGUGUAGCGGUGAAAUGCGUAGAGAUGUGGAGGAACACCAGUGGCGAAGGCGACUCUCUGGUCUGUAACUGACGCUGAGGAGCGAGAGCGUGGGGAGCGAACAGGAUUAGAUACCCGUGUAGUCCCUGUCUCUUAUACA